rnacentral:rRNA from 1 species
UACGGAGGGUGCAAGCGUUGUUCGGAUUUAUUGGGCGUAAAGCGAGUGUAGGUGGUUUGUCAAGUCGGAUGUGAAAGCCCAGGGCCCAACCCUGGAACUGCAUCCGAUACUGGCAGGCUAGAGUCCCGGAGAGGAUGGCGGAAUUCCCGGUGUAGGGGUGAAAUCCGUAGAUAUCGGGAGGAACACCAGUGGCGAAGGCGGCCAUCUGGACGGUGACUGACACUGAGACUCGAAAGCGUGGGUAGCAAACAGG